GGUUAGGGUUAGGUAAGGGUUAAGGUUAGGGUUAGGUAAGGGUUAAGGUUAGGGUAGGGAGGUGCCAAGGAUCCCGGACAGCACUGACUCUAUCCACACGCUCAUUGUUGUUACAGAAUUCAACCCAAAUAAUCAAAGCCUGAAUCGAAAACAAUGGUUUUUGUAUUUAUUAUAAUGAACCGAAACCCAACCCUGUCCACACGCCCAGUACUUAACUUUUCAACACACCCUCUUGACCAUAGUCCGGUUUCGGUAUCGAGCUGCAGCUCCCUACUUCUCAAUGCGAACGUGAGUAGAUUACCUCGAAAACAACGGUCGGACAUCUAGGAAGCAGUCUCCAGUUUGUAUUAUACCUCGGUGGUGUAGAAGGAACAAAUAUCGACCGGAUCUUGAUCGGACGACGAGAACAACAACGUGUUAAAGGUGUAACCAAGGCUUCUGAGAACACAGAGAAACAUGGCUACAGUCUUCAUCUGUUCCGUCUGUACCGAAGUCUUCGUUGGACAUAUAUCGCUGAGCUGCAAGCACACCUUCUGUGAACGUUGCCUCCAGAAGUGUAUGGACGCUGGUUGCGUUAUCUGUCCGGUGUGCGGGGAUCCAAUCACGUCGGAGAACAUCAGAGUCAACAGAAUACUAAGGGACAUGGCAGACGAAGUGAGACAGAGAAGAGUUGAUCUCAGAGUAUUGAAGAGGAAUGAGGACUUUGAUGUGAAUAACUGGGAAACCAACAAGAAGAAGGAGAAUGUGAAAACGUCAAAGUCCUUGGUGAAGGAAGGCCUGGCUGCCAGAAAGACAGAGAGGAAGUUAAAGUCAUCUCUGACCACUGGUCCCUGGGAGGGUAUAGUUUUUGGCAUUAUGGCCUUUUAUUGCUUUAUUUCUGUUCUUACUUAUGUUGUCCUUCCUUGUGUGGAAUAUGUGUCUGUAACAAUGUCAGGAAAUGCAGCCAAGGUGUUCGGAUCCCCUUUGGUGUUCAUGUCUAUGUUUGUUGUCUUCGGUGUUGUUGCUCAUUUAGUGGAUUUUGUGUUGAAAAAGAUUGACUUAAAAUCUGUUUUAUAUAGUAAUAACUGAUUGAUUGCUUUUAUGCAGUGUUGGAGAGUCAUUGGAUGUAGCGAACUUCCUUUCCCAGCAGGUUGGUGGUAGUUGAACAACUUUUUUGAAAUGAAUUAUAUUAUUGAGUUGACUUACAUCUGCAGGUUUAUGCCCAGUUUAUUGAUGCUAUGAUAAGUGCAGUAGAUUUUAGUUGUAAAAUGAAUGUUGUGAAGUAUGCUUUAAAAACUGCUAACUGAUUAUAUGGAAGGAAAAGGGCAAUGAGUUUUGAUGUAAAACUUUUCCUGUAAAUAUUCAGCAUUAUAAUGGCACCAGAGUUUCCAGCUUAAAUACUGUAAUUUUGCUUUACAGCAGAGAUGCUGUAAUAUAUUUUACAGUAACCUCUUUUCCAUACUAUAAAACACAUUACAGAAUACAGCAUCCCUGCUUUAAAUUUACAGCUGUAAGGUUUUUACAGUAGUAGUAUUCAAUGUCGGGAUUCGUGUCCCCACAACUGCAGUGGGGUUGCCAACAAUAUUAUUUGAAAUGUUUUAUAUUAUUAUUUAGUGUUAUUAUUUUUUAUUUAAACAAUAUAGAAACAUUUUUGAGAAAAAUGGGUUCCCUGCUGAAAAGGUUUAAAUACUAUUGUUUUACAGUAAGGAAAAUACUACUGUAAAAUAUAUUACAGCAUACCUGCUGUAAAGCAGAAUUACAGUAUUUAAGCUGGAAACUCUGGUGCCAUUACAAUGCUGAAUAUUUACAGUGAAAUUCUACCUGAAAUCUAAAUACAAAGAUAUAUAUACAAAUGUACAUAAAAUACAUGUAUUCAAAUAGCUGACAACAUUAGCUACAAAUGAACAAUAUAAUUGACAAUGGAAGUAACAACAGUUAUGACGUAUGUAACCAAAUAAGUGCAUCAUUACAACACUAAUUACAAAUUAUAUUGUGUGUGUGUGGGGGGGGAUUGAGAUCUAUUUAGGGUAAGGGGUUCAGAGGCGGUGAAACGGGACAGUUUGGUCAGGAGAGCAUCCAGGACAGAGAGAGGUUAGCAUCAUGUGUUCCUCAUGGGGCUCCGUAAACAAACCUCCUCGCGUUCUGAUUGGUCAGCUCUUCUCAACCCUAGGACAAGCAUAGAAAGAGAAAGACUGGAAUGAGCACCAGGGGCUGUUACUCUGUGGGUAAAUAGACAGACAGACAGCACCAGGGGAUGUUACUCUGUGGGUUAAUAGACAGACAGACAGCACCAGGGGAUGUUACUCUGUGGGUUAAUAGACAGACAGACAGCACCAGGGGAUGUUACUCUGUGGGUUAAUAGACAGACAGACAGCACCAGGGGAUGUUACUCUGUGGGUUAAUAGACAGACAGACAGCACCAGGGGAUGUUACUCUGUGGGUUAAUAGACAGACAGACAGCACCAGGGGAUGUUACUCUGUGGGUAAAUAGACAGACAGACAGCACCAGGGGAUGUUACUCUGGGGGUAAAUAGACAGACAGCAACAGGGGCUGUUACUCUGUGGGUAAAUAGAGAGACAGCACCAGGGGCUGUUACUCUGUGGGUAAAUAGAGAGACAGACAGCAACAGGGGCUGUUACUCUGGGGGUAAAUAGACAGACAGCAACAGGGGCUGUUACUCUGUGGGUAAAUAGACAGAGGACAAGGGACAUAUUAAGCUGGUGUUGUGUGUACAUACUUAACUACAAAUCUACAGUAGGCAUAAGCUAUUACUGUAAAUAAAUUAUACAGAAUGUUGGGAGGAUUUCCUCCAGGAGGCUUCCAAUUACAGUAAAUAACAGUAUUUUUUCAGCAUUUUACCCAUAAUGCAGUGCAAUCUAUAACAUUAUUGCUUUAAGACACAUAUGGUAUUUUACUGUGCCUUCUACCAUGUUUUAAUGCUGACAUGACAGUCUUACACUACAUAGCUUUUCUCCAUUUGAGAAGACACUACCCUAUUUGUAUUGAAAUGUAAUAAAAAUAUAAUUCCAUUCUGA